UACGUAGGGGGCAAGCGUUAUCCGGAUUUACUGGGUAUAAAGGGAGCGCAGACGGCAGUGCAAGUCUGAUGUGAAAGCCCGGGGCUCAACCCCGGAACUGCAUUGGAAACUGUACAGCUUGAGUGUCGGAGAGGUAAGCGGAAUUCCUAGUGUAGCGGUGAAAUUCGUAGAUAUUCGGAGGAACACCAGUGGCGAAGGCGGCUCGCUGGCUCGACACUGACGCUGAGGUGCGAAAGCGUGGGGAGCAAACAGGAUUAGAUACU
rnacentral:rRNA from 1 species